AGCCUUGCGUGUGACAGGAUAAGGUUGUGUGAAAAUUUUUCAGCUCGCGCACCCGUCGCUUCCCUUCCGCUCCGUUUUUUUGCCAUCCCUCUCUUACGUGUGGGCCAUCCUAAGGAAGGGAUGCUAAUUUAGCUAGUUAAUUGGAGAUACAACGUAGCUGAGCAAAUAAUGGGACCGAUUUAGAAAAUUUUCUGACUUAGGCCUUGUUUAGAUACACCCAAAAACCCAAAUUUUUACAAGAUUCUCCAUCACAUCGAAUCUUGCGGCACAUGUAUGGAGCAUUAAAUAU
rnacentral:lncRNA from 1 species